CGGAGGUGUCCGGAAGCUCUCUCUGGGAGCGGAGGUGUGCGGUUGCUGUCUCUGAGCGCGGAGGUGUCCGGAAUUUCACGGUUUCUCGGUGAGCAAAGCUCUAGGUUCGCCGGGGUGUCUGCACGCCGGUGCUCAGAGAAGCCGGCGACUGCUCGGGGUGGGGGUGGGCCCUCGGUGCGUCCUGGGUCGGGUAGGCCCUAUCCUGUCCUUUCCUCCCCCUCCCCCCCCCGAAGUCGCCGGGGUGGGCAGAUCUCUCGGGGCCGCCGCCGCUUCUGUGCUGGGUGCCAGGCUGGCACACUGGGACGGCUUGCAGCCGGCUCUGCUUGUCGCCCCGCUCCACCCCCCGGACCCCGAACCCCGAACCCGGGCCACAGCGGGUCUUCGGGCUGGUCCCUUCCCCUCGCUGCACCCGUGCUAGGGAUCAUCCCAACGUGAUAAAGGGCGCUAGCGCAGUGUUGAGUGGCUGUUCCGAAACUGCGACGCCCCUACCAAGUAUUUGGCUUCAGUUCUCUCCAUAGAGGAAGGGGCUCCCUGUGUAUGUGGAGAGGUGUAUGUGGGUUAUGGCUAGAAACAGAAUUCUUCUCUAGAUGUUAGGUCUAAAGACUUAAACAGAAUUGAGUUACUGCUGAUUUGUUACCUACCGGCUUUUGGAAAUUGUCUUUAAUCUCCCCUCUCCCCGGGGUUUAGGCCAGAAAUGUGCAGAUGUGGGCACCUUGCCCAUGUAAAUGUUAGUUAACAUUUAGAAGCUUUUUUAUGCACCUAGUCAACAGAUGUAUGGGACCAACUAUUGGCCGGCCCUAUAUAAACUCUUAUCGAUACGUAUUCAGAAGGUAGGAGUUAUAGGUGUGUAUGUUGGCAUUAUCUAUAUUAGCAUAUGCUCUAGAACUGUGUUGUUCACUAUGGUACCCACUAGCUACAUAGGAUAAUGAGCACUUGAUAUGUUCCCAGUCCUAAUUGAGAUGUGUGGUAGUGUAAAACAGCGAAUUUGGGAGAGCUAGUAUGAAAAAGAAUUAAAAUAUCCAUCAUUUGUUUUUACCAAUUACAUGUUGAAAUAGCAGUGUUUUUGGAUACACUGGUGAGGCAAAAUGUUACUAAUUUCGUCUGUGUAUUUAAAAAAAAUUUUUUUAAUGUUUAUUUUAGAGAGAGACCGAGUUCGAGUGGGGGAGGGGCAGAGACAGAGGGAUUCACAGAAUCCUAAGCAGGCUCCAGGCUGUCAGCACAGAACCCAAUGUGGGGCUCCAACUCACAGACCGAGAGAUCAUGACUUGAGCCGAAGUCGGACGCUUAACCGACUGAGCCACCCAGGUGCCCCUAUUUUGUAGUUUUAAUUAUUUUGUGUAACCAUUUUAAAAAAUAGAUGAGGAGCACCUGUUUAUUUUUUAAAGUGGUUACUAGAAAAUUUUUAAUUCUAUCUGUGGCUUGCAUUAUAUUCCUAUCGGACAGUACUGCUUUAGAAAGGGGUCAGCAAAUUGUGGCCUGCAGCUAAAUCCAGCCUGCCUGUCUUUGAAAAAAAAGAUUUGUUGGAGCAAAGCCUUACUCAUUCUUUUAUGUAUUGUCUGCGGCAGAGUUGAGGAGUUCAUACAGAGAUUGGAUGGCCUGCACAGCCUAAAAUAUUUCCUAUCUGGCCUUUUACAGAAAAAGAUUUGCUGACCCCUUGCUGCAAAACAAUGCCUGCUAUGGUAGAUACAUGUCAUGUGAGCUUUUUAAUUAGAGUCCUGUGUUAAUUGUCAGGCCUACUGUGUGACAGGCACGGUUCUAAGGACUUUAUAAGGACUAUGUCAUUUAUUUCCCGUAUUAAUCCUAGGAUGUGGGAUUUCCUUGAUUUUGGAGAUGAGGAAAUCGAGGCACAAAAUCGUCAAGAGACAUGCCAGAUGUGCUCAACACCCCUCCCUUCUAGAAAUUGCACCCUCCUGACCCUCCUUAUCCCCAAAUGCUUGACACUGGGAGUCUAUUCGAUUAGCCCCUAGUGGGCACCGUGCUGCUGCAUUUGUUUUUUUUCUUUUAUAUGACUUUUUAAACUAGAAUUGAGGUGACGUUGGGUCUCCUGUGGAAGCAGCUGAGAGGCACUGGGCUUGGGGGAAGUGGGUACAAGCAAGCGGUUCCAUAGAAGGGAGCGCACAAGCAGAGAGGAGAGGGCGCAGCCUGGGUGCUCUUUUCUCCUUUAAUAAAAACCCUGUUUGUUGAGAAAUAGUAAAGCACUGGCCAAGUGUUUUCCAGGCAUUCUCCGUGAAUGAAACAGACAUCAUUCUUUUAUGGUCUUGUGGGCAAGGCAGACAAUAAACCAUUUUUUCAGUGCGAUACACGCCAUGAAAAACCACUGCCAAUAUUUGCAGUUUUUGAACAGGUCUCACUCAUCUGUAAGAUGGAGAUAAGCCGCAUGCUUGUCUCGGGGUUGUCGUGAGGCUUGAGAUGACGGGAGCGCGUACGGCACGUAGACUUGUUCAGUAACCCCACUGGGUGCCUUCUGCCGUGGAGAGGUAAGGGAGGGAAUGAGUAUGGGCAGUCGGGGCAUCGUGACACUUGCAACAUCGCAACCGCCGUGCCCGGCAAGUGUUUUUAACACGUCCUGAGGGGGCUCGUCCAGCAAAACCCAAAACCAGAGCGGUUCUGUACAUUCAGUCCAGGAACAGGACAGGAGCUGUCUUUGGGCUGAUGGCAGCAGAACUGAGCCGGUCCCAUUGAGCGAGGGCCCUGUGCCCAUGUACAGAGCAGUGGCAGCAGCUCAGAGUCCCCUGGAUGGCUGGGAAAGCACCUAGGCCUACCUUCAGGGAUCUUGAUCCAGUGUGUCUGGGACAGGGCCCUGGCCUCGGCUUUGUUUUUGCUAAUUUCUCCAGAUGACUCCGGUUUAUAGGCAGGACUGAGAAGCGCUCGCGGUGUGGAUCAGGCUAGGCUCAGGGAGCUACGGAGGUGAAGCACAGAGUUGUGAAAUAGGCGGGGCCUGUGAAUGGUUCUGAGGUCUCAGAGGAGGCUGCUGGGGGGGGGGGGCAGGGGGCUUUUUAUCGCCUGGCGGGGGACCUCGGGCUCCGUCCUGAGGGCAGAGGGAAACCUCUGGAGGGCCGGGAACAUGAGGGAAUGUCUUGGAGAGAUGCGUAGUAUUUCAUUUCUACCCCCACCGUGCGGCUCAAACACAAAACCCCGAGAUCAAGAGUCUCAUGGUCUACUGACAGAGCCAGCCAGGUGCCCCUGUGAUAUUUAUUAAAUGAGCUCUGUGGAACUCUAAACUGGACCCACAGCUUACUUUGUCUCCUUGUGGCACUUCUCAAAAUUUUAUAUCUCGGUUGCUUUCACAGUAUACCAUCCUAGGGCAGUAAAUGCUUUAUAUCCGCAUCAUUGUCCCACAGAGGGUAUAGAAAGUUUGACAGGAUGUAAAUGCUGUUAAAAAUAUAGAGGAGAAUGGAAAACAGUAUGGCGGUUCUUCGAAAAAUUGGAAAUAGAAUUCCCAUAUGACCCAGCAAUCGCACUCCUGGGUAUUUACCCAAAAGCAUCGAAAGCAGGGUCUUGAAGAGAGAUUGGUACAUCCAGGUUCCCGGCACCGUUAGUCACGCUGGCCAAAAGGUAGAAGCAGCCCAUGUGUCCACUGGCAGAUGAGCAGAUAAGUAAAAUGUGCUUUAUGCAUACAAUGGAAUAUGAUUCAGUCUUAAUAAGGUUCCACUGCAUGUAUAGACCACACGUGCCAGGACACGUGCUACCAUGCCGGUGAGCCUGGAGGACAUUAUGCUAAGUGAAAUGAGCCAGACACAAGAGGCCACCUGCUGUAUGAUUCCAGUUCAAUGCGGCCUGUAGUCACAUUCAGAGACAGUAGGGUGAUGGUGGCCAAGGGCCACGCAGGGGGAAGGAAUGGGCAGUUGUUUAAUGGGUACAAAGUUUGUUUUGCAAGAUGCAAAGAACUCUGGGCAUUGGUUGCACAACAACAUGAACGUACUUACUGUCACUUCACUGUUCGCUGAAAAAUGGCUAAGAUGCUAAGUCUUGGGGUAUGUGUGUUUUUUCACAAUCAAAACUGAAAAAGAAGGAAAUGAGAGGUAAAUAAAAAGACAUGCAUUCCUUCAGAAUCUCCUGGAGACUCUGACCCUUGGUUGAGAAAUUCUGGCCUGAGUUAAAUAUUGUCCAGCCUCCACAUGGGCACUGUAGGCCUGUCUGUUAUUAACCACCUUGCUGACAUGUGGCAAACUUCAAUCCCGAUCCCUUUGGUAGCGAUGCAUAUAAAGUGAAUGUGGAAUGCAGGCCAGGUGAGUGUUCUUUCUUUGUCAGGCAACUUGCCAACAAGCUGGUGGGGAGGGUUCAAGUGUAUUAAGCAGCUUGAGACCUUAUCGUGAUGUGGGCUGCUAGGCAUCCUCCAGAUCCCAGGAUCUCAGGCAGACGGUUCGGAGAAAUGUUCAGCCAUUGAAGGCAAGUAUUUUUUUAUUUUUCUGUGUUAUCUUGCCUGUUCUUUGUCCGCUGAGCCUUUUUCUUUUCUUUUCUUUUUUGACACAGAGAGGGAGAAAGAGAGAGAUUGCACACGUGCACUAGGUGGGGAGGACAGAGGAAGAGGGAGAGAGAGAAUUCCAAGGAGGCUGCAGGCUAUCAGCGCCGUCCGCGCAGAACGCGACACAAGCCUGAGUCCCGUGAGCCACUAGAUGAUGACCUCAGCCGAAAUCCAGAGUGGAACGCUCAACCGCUUAACCGACUGAGCCAGCCAGGUGCCCCAGUGAGCCUUUGAUUCUCAGGAAGACCUCUUUCACUGUUUCCAGUGUUUCAAAGUGGAAUUUUAAAAAGGUAAAACAAUGAUCUUGAAGUACUGAUUCUUGCUAACGAGAAAUAUAGCCACUUAAGAUCCUGAAUUGCUGGCCCACUGAGUCUUAAAUAAUUUAAAAAAAAAAAAAAAAAGACCACCCAGGUUGCCUUCAUUCCAACUCCCUCCCGUGGCAAAAAUGCCAGACUCGCAAUCUUGGUCAUUCUUGAGCUGGCCCCACAGGGAGAACUUGAGUAGGAACAUCAUAGCUGUGACCAAGGGUACGUAACCGUUCGUAUUUGAGGGGAGAUUCAUCUGGUUUAGACUCAGUAACAGACUUCGUUCUGACUGCUGGUCUGAAGGCAAAGCCACAGGUCCUGUAACACCUGUAUGAUACUCUGAUUCCAAGAGAAGGUAGAAGACUGAUCCGCCGGCCGUGUCCAAUUUGCAAAUAUUAUAAAUACAUGUUUACCAUGAAAUUACAUUGGACUAGUCACUUUUCUGGUUGUGAAAAUAAUACGUACUCAUACAAAAUACAGGAAGGAGUAAAAGAACGAACAAAAAUCACCUAAAAUCUUACCGUUCAGAAAAUGUCACUAAAAUUUUUGUGUAUUUAUUUUCAACCUUUUCUCUUCACAUGUGAUUUUUAGUGUUCGAGGGGAAGAUGGCGGCAUAGGAGGACGCUGGCCUCAGCUCGUCCUGCUGAUCACUUAGAUUCCACCCACAUCUGCCUAAAUAACCCAGAAAACCACCAGAAGACUAG
rnacentral:lncRNA from 1 species